AACGCUAGCUACAGGCUUAACACAUGCAAGUCGAGGGGAAACGACAUCGAAAGCUUGCUUUUGGUGGGCGUCGACCGGCGCACGGGUGAGUAACGCGUAUCCAACCUGCCCACCACUUGGGGAUAACCUUGCGAAAGUAAGACUAAUACCCAAUGAUAUCCCACGAAGGCAUCCGAAUGGGAUUAAAGAUUUAUCGGUGAUGGAUGGGGAUGCGUCUGAUUAGCUUGUUGGCGGGGUAACGGCCCACCAAGGCAACGAUCAGUAGGGGUUCUGAGAGGAAGGUCCCCCACAUUGGAACUGAGACACGGUCCAAACUCCUACGGGAGGCAGCAGUGAGGAAUAUUGGUCAAUGGGCGAGAGCCUGAACCAGCCAAGUAGCGUGCAGGACGACGGCCCUAUGGGUUGUAAACUGCUUUUAUAAGGGAAUAAAGUGAGUCUCGUGAGACUUUUUGCAUGUACCUUAUGAAUAAGGACCGGCUAAUUCCGUGCCAGCAGCCGCGGUAAUACGGAAGGUCCGGGCGUUAUCCGGAUUUAUUGGGUUUAAAGGGAGCGUAGGCUGGAGAUUAAGCGUGUUGUGAAAUGCCGCGGCUCAACCGUGGCACUGCAGCGCGAACUGGAUGACUUGAGUUCGCGGGAGGUAGGCGGAAUUCGUGGUGUAGCGGUGAAAUGCUUAGAUAUCACGAAGAACUCCGAUUG
rnacentral:rRNA from 1 species